GCCACCCGCCCACGCCUUUGGCCCCAGCCAGGACUCAAGGGAGGGACGAAGUUUGCAACCCUGGUUUAGCCUCAAUUGGGAUCACAGAGAUGUCACGGAAAGCGCAAUCGGGAAAUGGAUUGUCUCCAUCUCUGCUCAUAGAAAGCAGGGCCCAAGUGUACAGGCAGCGCGUUUGUAUUUGAAGUUGUAUUAACUAGCUCUCUCUGCAAUUCCACAUACUAAAUUAUGACGUCCUCCUCGGAGCAGCAGCAUAAUGGACAACAGGUACGUCACACAGGUUGCCCAAAGCAGAGCAACUCCACUCUGCUUCUUUUCCUGGGAAACGGAAGGAUAGAGAGUUCCAAGGUAGCCUGGGCUACACAACUAGAUCUUAUCUCAAAGGAGGUGCCAGAGAUGAUGGUGUAAGCCUACAGCUCUGCCCUCCAGAGGUUACAUUAUUAGAACCCAGUAGACACUAGGAGGCAAAGCCUGGUUGGGAGAAGUGUACCCUGCCCUGUGCUUUUGGAGGAUAUGUGUGUCCUGGGAAAACCGAAGGAGAGAGGGUAUACUAUGAUCUUCAGAGGUACAAAAUAGAGAUUCUCAGGGGCUGGAGGGAUGGCCCAGAAGUUAAAGGCACUUGACGAUCUUUCAGAGGGGCUAGGUUAGGUUGCCAGCACCCAACAUUAUUUUAUUUAAAUCCAAAAAAUAAUAACUCUGAGUCGGGGUUUGGAGAGGUGCAAAGCGACCCAGAAGUGAAAUGUUGUGUCUUAGCUAAAGGUGAACUAUUUCCAACAGAUGUUACUAUUAUUUAUCCCAUGAUAUAAAGACGCCUGCAGGGAGAAGGGAAGCCAAGAUGGUCAGCCACGGGGAAGCUCAUCCACAGAGGGAAAGCUCAAUCCUGACCAUCUCGGCAAUCCUCAGUUUCUGCAGGAUGUUUGAAAGCUCCCAUUCGCUGCUGCCUUUGAAAGCUCCCAUUCGCUGCUGCCGCCUCUGCUCUCCACCAUGCUUCAGCUGCCCGUUGCCCCGCCCCGUGGCCUCUGACAUGUUUUGAAUGUCAUUUGAUAGAUGUCUAUCUGCUGCUUUUGUCUGUCUGUCAUUUGCUGCUUACUCUCUUGCUUGCUAUAUAAUGAAUAAACUCACAUAUUGGAAACUAAA
rnacentral:lncRNA from 1 species